GCCGGGCACGGUGGCGCGUGCCUGUAAUCCCAGCUACUCUGAAGGCUGAGCCCAGAGGAUCACUUGAGUCCAGGAGUUCUGACCUGCAGUGCGCUAUGCACUUAGUGUCCGCGCUAAGUUCAGCAUCAAAAUGGUGACCUCCCGGGAGUCGGGGAACACCAGGUUGCCUAAGGAGGGAUGAACUGGCCCAGGUCGGAAACGGAGCAGGUCAAAACUCCCGUGCUGAUCAGCAGAAUACAGAGGGUAAGGUGAGGGACCAGAUAAAUCUUU
ensembl:misc_RNA Metazoa_SRP Metazoan signal recognition particle RNA